UAAAAAUAAAUUUUCUGGGCUGGGAAUAUAGCUCAGUUGGUAGAGUAUUUGCCUUGCAUGUAUGAGGUCCUGGGUUCAAUCCCCUGCAUCACAAAAUAAAAUAAAAUAACUUUCUUUUAAGAUAGCUAAGUGAGGCUUUUUUCUUGUUUAAAAGCAUGUUUAGAUAUUCUUGCAUAUACUGGUGAAUUAGAGCUUACUAUUAAUUUGAGAUUUUAUUAUGACUUUUAAAAAGUAUUUAUCUUUUAGUUAUAGAUGGACACAAUAACUUUAUUUUAGUUUUAUGUGGUGCUGAGGAUCCAGCCCAGUGCCUCACGUAUUGUGGGCAAGUGCUCUACCUCUGAGCCACAGCCCCAGCCCUUUAUUAUGGCUUUUUCUAUUAACAAUAUCAUUUUCCAUCAAAAGGGUUGUACACUAUUAGUAGUGUGGAAGAGUCAUGUACAAGUUUUGCUAAAAUAUAUAAUUUGAGAAGAACUGAAGGAUAUUUCCAAUGUACUUCCCAAUUGUUUAAUAGAAAUUCUUAGAAAAUUCUGAUAUAUAAGAUAGAGCUUUUGAAUAUCAUUAGUAUCAUAAUAGUGUUUGUGUGAAAUGCUGUUGACAAUGUAAAAUGUGUAUCUAAAAGAGAUGUAUACCUUAUUUGUAAGAUAUUCAUAACCUUAUUGUCAUAUUAUUUCUUUUUGCAGUGUAUCUCUUGGGUUAGAAAGAGCCAAGGUAUUUUAUCAUUCAAUGAAAAGACAUUUAAUAUCACUGUGAAUUAUUUCAAGUUAUUUUAAAUGCUUGAUGUAUCAAAAAUAGAUACUUGGGAAUACUCUGUCUUAUUUAAUAGAGCUUAUCUAACAACUGGGAUCCCAGAAAAAGAAGAGAUGUCUAUAGUAGGGGAAGAAUCCAUCUAUCAGAAUUUUAAAAUUAAUUGUGAUUUAUCCACUGGUCC
rnacentral:lncRNA from 1 species